GGGGAUGUUUAGGAUUCGACAGGGAUGCUAGUCUGCCUGAUUGCACGUAAGAGGCUCGGCUCUUUAAAAACGGAACAGUUUAUAAUAACUGACAACAAUAAAUCAUUCGCUUUAGCAGCUUAAUAAGCUAAAGGCUGAUUAUUCAGAUUUGGUUGUGAUUUGAAUAAUCGGUUCAUUAACUAGCAACCUGCCUUUAAUUUCUUCCGUUUGUAGAAAUUAAAAUAAGAUAAUCAAACUCGUCUUUUAUUGCCAGUUUAUCGGCUAAAGUAAAAGAUUAAAUUUAAUAGAUAAACUAAACGUGUAGACAUUUUGUAGAGGUAUUUUUGGACGCGGGUUCAAAUCCCGCCAUCUCCAUAA
rnacentral:tmRNA from 1 species